rnacentral:lncRNA from 1 species
AACCCCAUGAAAUUUGAUUGAGUUGUGUGAACGAUAAAAAUGUUGUUUUUAAACCCAUGAAAUUUGAUUGAAUUAUGUGAAUGAUGAAAAUUUUGUUGUUGUUAAAUUCAUAAAAUUUGAUUGAAUUGUGUGAAUGAUGAAAAUGUUGAUGUUAAACCAAUGAAAUUUGAUAGAAUUGUGUGAACAUUGAAAAUGUUGUUGUUGUUGAACCCAUGAAAUUUGAUUGAAUUGUAUGAAUGAUGAAAAUGUUGUUGUUGUUAAACCCAUGAAAUUUGAUUGAAUUGUGUGAAUGAUGAAAAUGUUGUUGUUAAACUCAUAAAAUUUGAUUGAAUUGUAUGAAUGAUGAAAAUGUUGUCGUUAAAGCCGUGAAAUUUGAUUGAAUUCUGUAAGGACGAAAAUGUUAUUUUUAAACCGAUAGAAUUUGAUUGAAUUAUGUGAAUGAUAAAAAUGUUGUUGUUGAACCCAUGAAAUUUGAUUGAAUUUUAUGAAUGAUGAAAAUGUUGUUGUUGUUAAACCCAUGAAAUUUCAUUGAAUUGUGUGAAUGAUGAAAAUGUUGUUACUAAACUCAUAAAAUUUGAUUGAAUUGUAUGAAUGAUGAAAAUGUUAUCGUUAAACCGUGAAAUUUGAUUGAAUUCUGAAAAGGAUGAAAAUGUUAUUUUUAAACCGAUAGAAUUUGAUUGAAUUAUGUGAAUGAUAAAAAUGUUGUUGUUAAACCCAUGAAAUUUGAUUGAAUUGUGGGAAUGAUUAAAAUGUUCCUGUUAAACCCAUGGAAUUUGAUUGAAUUUUGUGAAUGAUGAUAAUAUUGUAGUUAAACCCAUGAAAUUUGAUUUAGUUGUGUGAACGAUAAAAAUGUUGUUCUUAAACCCUUGAAAUUUGAUUGAAUUGUGUGAAUGAUGAAAAUGUUGUUGUUGUUAAAUCCAUGAAAUUUGAUUGAAUUGUGUGAAUGAUGAAAAUGUUGAUCUUAAACCAAUGAAAUUUGAUAGAAUUGUGUGAAUAAUGAAAAUGUUGUUGUUGUUGAACCCAUAAAAUUUGAUUGAAUUGUAUGAAUGAUGAAAUUGUUGUUGUUGUUAAACCCAUGAAAUUUGAUUGAAUUGUGUGAAUGAUGAAAAUGUUGUUGUUGUUAAAUUCAUGAAAUUUGAUUGAAUUGUGGGAAAAAUUUGAUUGAACUGUGUGAAUGAUGAAAAUGUUGAUGUUAAACCAAUGAAAUUUGAUAGAAUUAUGUGAAUAAUGAAAAUGUUGUUGUUGUUGAACCCAUGAAAUUUGAUUGAAUUGUAUGAAUGUUGAAAUUGUUGUUGUUGUUAAACCCAUGAAAUUUGAUUGAAUUGUGUGAAUGAUGAAAAUGUUGUUGUUGUUAAAUUCAUGAAAUUUGAUUGAAUUGUGUGAAUGAUGAAAAUGUUGAUGUUAAACCAAUGAAAUUUGAUAAAAUUGUGUGAAUAAUGAAAAUGUUAUUGUUGUUGAACCUAUGAAAUUUGAUUGAAUUUUAUGAAUGAUGAAAAUGUUGUCGUUGUUAGACCCAUGAAAUUUGAUUGAAUUGUGUGAAUGAUGAAAAUGUUGUUGUUAAACUCAUAAAAUUUGAUUGAAUAGUAUGAAUGAUGAAAAUGUUGUCGUUAAACCCGUGAAAUUUGAUUGAAUUCUGUAAAGGAUGAAAAUGUUAUUUUUAAACCGAUAGAAUUUGAUUGAAUUAUGUGAAUGAUAAAAAUGUUAUUGUUAAACCCAUGAAAUUUGAUUGAGUUGUGUGUAUAAUGAAA